GAUGAACGCUCGCGGCAGGCCUAAUACAUGCAAGUCGAACGAGAUUACGAGGCUUGCUUCUUAUGAAAGUGGCGCACGGGUGCGUAACGCGUAUGCAACCUACCUUAAUCAGGGGGAUAGCCCGAAGAAAUUCGGAUUAAGACCGCAUAAAAACACAGGAUAGCAUUAUCCAAUGUUCAAAUAUUUAUAGGAUUAAGAUGGGCAUGCGUGUCAUUAGCUAGUUGGCGGGGUAACGGCCCACCAAGGCGACGAUGACUAGGGGAUCUGAGAGGAUGACCCCCCGCACUGGUACUGAGACACGGACCAGACUCCUACGGGAGGCAGCAGUAAGGAAUAUUGGUCAAUGGAGGGAACUCUGAACCAGCCAUGCCGCGUGCAGGAAGACAGCCCUCUGGGUCGUAAACUGCUUUUAGUCGGGAAUAAACCUUUCUACGUGUAGGAAGCUGAAUGUACCGAAGGAAUAAGGAUCGGCUAACUCCGUG
rnacentral:rRNA from 1 species